AAACUACUCUCUCCAUUCGGAAUUACUUGUCACAGAAAUGAAUUUAUCUAGACGUAUUUUAGUUCUAUAUACAUCCAUAUUCGAGACAAGUAAUUUCGAACGGAGGGAGUACGUC
rfam:Triticum aestivum genome assembly, contig: Triticum_aestivum_CS42_TGACv1_scaffold_196379_3AL